ACGAACGCUGGCGGCGUGCCUAAUACAUGCAAGUCGAGCGGACCGGAUCGGAGCUUGCUCUGGUUUGGUCAGCGGCGGACGGGUGAGUAACACGUGGGCAACCUGCCCGCAAGACCGGGAUAACUCCGGGAAACCGGAGCUAAUACCGGAUAACACCGAAGACCGCAUGGUCUUUGGUUGAAAGGCGGCCUUUGGCUGUCACUUGCGGAUGGGCCCGCGGCGCAUUAGCUAGUUGGUGAGGUAACGGCUCACCAAGGCGACGAUGCGUAGCCGGCCUGAGAGGGUGACCGGCCACACUGGGACUGAGACACGGCCCAGACUCCUACGGGAGGCAGCAGUAGGGAAUCUUCCGCAAUGGACGAAAGUCUGACGGAGCGACGCCGCGUGAGCGAAGAAGGCCUUCGGGUCGUAAAGCUCUGUUGUGAGGGACGAAGGAGCGCCGUUUGAACAAGGCGGCGCGGUGACGGUACCUCACGAGGAAGCCCCGGCUAACUACGUGCCAGCAGCCGCGGUAAUACGUAGGGGGCGAGCGUUGUCCGGAAUUAUUGGGCGUAAAGCGCGCGCAGGCGGUUCCUUAAGUCUGAUGUGAAAGCCCACGGCUCAACCGUGGAGGGUCAUUGGAAACUGGGGGACUUGAGUGCAGGAGAGGAGAGCGGAAUUCCACGUGUAGCGGUGAAAUGCGUAGAGAUGUGGAGGAACACCAGUGGCGAAGGCGGCUCUCUGGCCUGCAACUGACGCUGAGGCGCGAAAGCGUGGGGAGCAAACAGGAUUAGAUACCCUGGUAGUCCACG
rnacentral:rRNA from 1 species